CCGGCGAGCGCGGUGGAACCUGCGCGUGGCCUGGGACCGCCUCAGCUGCCUGUGGGGAUCAAACUCGGGUCGUUGGGUUUGCGAGGCAGGUGCGGUGCCACUGAGGUAAAUCCCCAGCCCAGCACCAUGUUUCACAGUAAAAUGGGGAACUGGGAUAGACAUCUCCUUAUGUCUCAUUGGUAGGGAGCUAGGUCACGUGCCCAUCCUUUGACCAAUCAUUGACAAGGAGAAAUGGCAUCACUGUGAUCCGCGGGAACCAAUCAUAAUUCAUCUUCUGCGUCUGGAUACGUGUGGUGGGGCAAAAUUGGAAUUGGGUCAGGAAGGAGAAAGUUAACUAGUUAGCUAUAGACGUGGGCGCUGCUUGACAAAUCAGCCCCCACGUCUCACUGGCAUAAAUAUAACAGAGGCUGCUUUUUCAUUUAUCUGACAGUCUGAUGAGGGUGUUCAUGGCUGGCAGGUGACUACUUUCACAAGUUGAGGCAGAAACCUGUUUUAUGGCUCAGGCUCCUGCAAGUGUGUCAGCAGGGGAAGAGAGGUCGGAAAAGUCACAUCCAUUUUUAAGUAAGUCUAGGAUCGCACACUUUCUCUCUGUUCAUGUCCCAUUGGUGAGAAUUCAUCACACAGUUCUUCCUCGAUGCUGGACUCCCUGGGAAUUGCAGCUUCUGGCCAGGCAGCAACCUCCAGCAACAACCCUGUGCGUGGGUGUGUGUGUGUGUGUGUGUGUGUGUGUGUGUGUGUGUGUGUGUGUGGCUGUUGGGGAGGAAAUGAACUGAUCUCUUCAGGCCCAUUUUAGGACAUCUUUGCCUUUAAGGAACAUCCAUCCAGCUGUUCCCAGACCUCUUGGCCUGUCUCUUCUCACUGGGUGCUGCCACCUACAAUAGACCACAAAUCUUUUUCUGAAUACUCCUUUUAUUUACUUGCUUAACUUUUGCCCAGGCUGUUCUGUCUAGAAUUUUUUCCUCCAGUUUUCAUCUACUUGAUGAACUCCUAUUCAUCCUUUAAAACCCAAAUUAAAAGUCCCCUCUCUCGUGGAGGCUUUCCCACUACAUUACCGUGGACUGCCUUCAUAUCUUGAAGGCUACUCACCACUGGAUUCCCUACAAUGUUUAGCACACUCUAGGGCCUCAGUUUUUGUACUAAAUGUAAGUACUUCAGGCUGACAGAAAACUCAGAUUGGUUUAAUGGAAUAUACUGAUUCAUAUAAUCGAACUUGACCCAGAGGUAUCAUUAGGCUUGGCUAAAUCCAGGAGCUUACACAUUUUCUUUCUUUCUUUUUUUCCCAUACUGGGGAUGAACUCAGGACCUUGCAUUUGUGAG
rnacentral:lncRNA from 1 species